rnacentral:rRNA from 1 species
UACAGAGGUCUCGAGCGUUAGGCGGAAUCACUGGGCUUAAAGCGUGUGUCGGCGGCUCGUUAAGUACCUUGUGAGAUCCCACGGCUUAACCGUGGAACUGCUUGGUAUACUGGCGGUCUUGAGCCAGCUAGGGGCUACCGGAACAAAUGGUGGAGCGGUGAAAUGCGUAGAUAUCGGAAGGAACGCCGGUGGCGAAAGCGACGUGCUGGACCUCUUCUGACGCUGAGGCGCGAAAGCUAGGGGAGCAAACGGG